rnacentral:pre_miRNA from 13 species
CCCAGGAGCUGACGUGGAAUGGGCCCACAGUGGACUUUUAGACCCUGUACACCCUCACCACUCAGCACCUGGG